AAUUCCCGAGGCUCAACCUCGGGCCUGCAGUGGGUACGGGCAGACUAGAGUGCGGGUAGGGGAGAUGGGAAUUUCCUGGUGUAGCGGUGGAAUGCGCAGAUAUCAGGAGGAACACCGAUGGCGAAGGCAGAUCUCUGGGCCGUAACUGACGCUGAGGAGCGAAAGGGUGGGGAGCAAACAGGCUUAGAUACCCUGGUAGUCCACCCCGUAAACGUUGGGAACUAGUUGUGGGGUCCAUUCCACGGAUUCCGUGACGCAGCUAACGCAUUAAGUUCCCCGCCUGGGGAGUACGGCCGCAAGGCUAAAACUCAAAGGAAUUGACGGGGACCCGCACAAGCGGCGGAGCAUGCGGAUUAAUUCGAUGCAACGCGAAGAACCUUACCAAGGCUUGACAUAUUCGAGAACGCCGUAGAAAUACGGAACUCUUUGGACACUCGUAUACAGGUGGUGCAUGGUUGUCGUCAGCUCGUGUCGUGAGAUGUUGGGUUAAGUCCCGCAACGAGCGCAACCCUCGUUCUAUGUUGCCAGCACGUAAUGGUGGGAACUCAUGGGAUACUGCCGGGGUCAACUCGGAGGAAGGUGGGGAUGACGUCAAAUCAUCAUGCCCCUUAUGUCUUGGGCUUCACGCAUGCUACAAUGGCCGGUACAAAGGGCUGCAAUACCGUGAGGUGGAGCGAAUCCCAAAAAGCCGGUCCCAGUUCGGAUUGAGGUCUGCAACUCGACCUCAUGAAGUCGGAGUCGCUAGUAAUCGCAGAUCAGCAACGCUGCGGUGAAUACGUUCCCGGGUCUUGUACACACCGCCCGUCUGUCAUGAAAGUCGGUAACACCUAACC
rnacentral:rRNA from 1 species